GUAGGUGGCAAGCGUUGUCCGGAAUUAUUGGGCGUAAAGCGCGCGCAGGUGGGUUCUUUAAGUCUGAUGUGAAAGCCCCCGGGCUCAACCGGGGAGGGUCAUUGGAAACUGGGGAACCUGAGUGCAGGAGAGGAAAGUGGAAUUCCACGUGUAGCGGUGAAAUGCGUAGAUAUGUGGAGGAACACCAGUGGCGAAGGCGACUUUCUGGCCUGUAACUGACACUGAGGCGCGAAAGCGUGGGGAGCAAACAGGAUUAGAUACCCUGGUAGUCCACGCCGUAAACGAUGAGUGCUAAGUGUUGGGGGGUUUCCGCCCCUCAGUGCUGCAGCUAACGCAUUAAGCACUCCGCCUGGGGAGUACGGUCGCAAAGACUG
rnacentral:rRNA from 1 species